rnacentral:rRNA from 1 species
AACGAACGCUGGCGGCAGGCUUAACACAUGCAAGUCGAACGCCCCGCAAGGGGAGUGGCAGACGGGUGAGUAACGCGUGGGAAUCUACCCAGAUCUUCGGAACAACUGAGGGAAACUUCAGCUAAUACCGGAUACGCCCUACGGGGGAAAGAUUUAUCGGUUCUGGAUGAGCCCGCGUUGGAUUAGCUAGUUGGUGAGGUAACGGCGCACCAAGGCGACGAUCCAUAGCCGGUCUGAGAGGAUGAUCAGUCACACUGGGACUGAGACACGGCCCAGACUCCUACGGGGGGCAGCAGUGGGGAAUAUUGGACAAUGGGCGAAAGCCUGAUCCAGCCAUGCCGCGUGAGUGAUGAAGGCCUUAGGGUUGUAAAGCUCUUUCAGUAGGGGAGAUAAUGACGGUACCUACAGAAGAAGCCCCGGCUAACUUCGUGCCAGCCGCCGCGGUAAAAC